AGUUGCGUCGUGCGAUGAGAGGCGGAAAUACUACGGGUGCAGUUGUUAAAGGGAAUGACGUGGCGGAAAGCGCGCGGUGGCGGUGCGUUGAGUCUGCUGUGAAGUGCCCGGGGUAGAGCUGGGGAUGGGAGUGGAUACUGGGGGGAUAGAGUGUGAUAGAGGAUGGUGGAAUUCCCGGUGGAGGGGUGAAAGGCGUAGAGAUCGGGAGGAACAUCAGUGGCGAAGGCGGCCAUCUGGAGCAACACUGACGCUGAGGCACGAAAGCGUGGGGAGCAAACAGGAUUAGAUACCCUUGUAGUC
rnacentral:rRNA from 1 species